rnacentral:rRNA from 1 species
CCUACGGGUGGCAGCAGUGAGGAAUAUUGGUCAAUGGGCGGGAGCCUGAACCAGCCAAGUCGCGUGAAGGAAGAAGGUACUUAGUAUUGUAAACUUCUUUUGUCGGGGAACAAAGGCGGAGACGCGUCUCCGGAUGAGUGUACCCGAAGAAAAAGCAUCGGCUAACUCCGUGCCAGCAGCCGCGGUAAUACGGAGGAUGCGAGCGUUAUCCGGAUUUAUUGGGUUUAAAGGGUGCGUAGGCGGGCAUUUAAGCCGGCGGUCAAAUGUCGGGGCUCAACCCCGGCCUGCCGUCGGAACUGGGUGCCUUGAGUGGGCGAGAAGUAUGCGGAAUGCGUGGUGUAGCGGUGAAAUGCAUAGAUAUCACGCAGAACCCCGAUUGCGAAGGCAGCAUACCGGCGCCCUACUGACGCUGAGGCACGAAAGUGCGGGUAUCGAACAGGAUUAGAUACCCCUGUAGUC